CCUACGGGUGGCAGCAGUGAGGAAUAUUGGUCAAUGGGCGCGAGCCUGAACCAGCCAAGUAGCGUGAAGGAUGACUGCCCUACGGGUUGUAAACUUCUUUUAUAAAGGAAUAAAGUGAGGCACGUGUGCCUUUUUGUAUGUACUUUAUGAAUAAGGAUCGGCUAACUCCGUGCCAGCAGCCGCGGUAAUACGGAGGAUCCGAGUGUUAUCCGGAUUUAUUGGGUUUAAAGGGAGCGUAGAUGGGUUGUUAAGUCAGUUGUGAAGGUUUGCGGAUCAACCGUAAAAUUGCAAUUGAUACUGGCAGUGUUGAGAACAGUUGAGGGAGGAGGAAUUCGUGGUGUAGCGGUGAAAUGAUUAGAUAUCAAGAAGAACUGCGAUUGCGAUGGCAGCUUACUAAACUGCCACUGACAUUGAUGCUAGAAAGUGUGGGUAUCAAACAGGAUUAGAUACUCUAGUC
rnacentral:rRNA from 1 species